rnacentral:lncRNA from 1 species
GGGUUUGGGGUUGAGUAAAGGGGAGAGAUUGGAGUUUGGGUUGGAUUUGUGGUAUAACAAUUUUAGGGGAGAUUGUGCAUUCUUUUUGUUGUUGUUGUUGUUAUUUGACUAUAUUUGUUUUUUUGUAGGGAAUCAUCGAGACUUUGACGGCUAAAGUUGAGGAUUAGGAAGCUAUCAAAACAUAUCCUCCGCCACUACCACCACAAUACGCUUGUAUUAGGAUUUUAUUAUUGUACUUUGUUAAUU